rnacentral:rRNA from 1 species
GGGUUGUGAGGUUAAGCGACUAAGCGUACACGGUGGAUGCCCUGGCAGUCAGAGGCGAUGAAGGACGUGCUAAUCUGCGAUAAGCGUCGGUAAGGUGAUAUGAACCGUUAUAACCGGCGAUUUCCGAAUGGGGAAACCCAGUGUGAUUCGUCACACUAUCAUUAACUGAAUCCAUAGGUUAAUGAGGCGAACCGGGGGAACUGAAACAUCUAAGUACCCCGAGGAAAAGAAAUCAACCGAGAUUCCCCCAGUAGCGGCGAGCGAACGGGGAGCAGCCCAGAGCCUGAAUCAGUGUGUGUGUUAGUGGAAGCGUCUGGAAAGGCGCGCGAUACAGGGUGACAGCCCCGUACACAAAAAUGCACAUACUGUGAGCUCGAUGAGUAGGGCGGGACACGUGGUAUCCUGUCUGAAUAUGGGGGGACCAUCCUCCAAGGCUAAAUACUCCUGACUGACCGAUAGUGAACCAGUACCGUGAGGGAAAGGCGAAAAGAACCCCGGCGAGGGGAGUGAAAAAGAACCUGAAACCGUGUACGUACAAGCAGUGGGAGCACGCUUAGGCGUGUGACUGCGUACCUUUUGUAUAAUGGGUCAGCGACUUAUAUUCUGUAGCAAGGUUAACCGAAUAGGGGAGCCGAAGGGAAACCGAGUCUUAACUGGGCGUUAAGUUGCAGGGUAUAGACCCGAAACCCGGUGAUCUAGCCAUGGGCAGGUUGAAGGUUGGGUAACACUAACUGGAGGACCGAACCGACUAAUGUUGAAAAAUUAGCGGAUGACUUGUGGCUGGGGGUGAAAGGCCAAUCAAACCGGGAGAUAGCUGGUUCUCCCCGAAAGCUAUUUAGGUAGCGCCUCGUGAAUUCAUCUCCGGGGGUAGAGCACUGUUUCGGCAAGGGGGUCAUCCCGACUUACCAACCCGAUGCAAACUGCGAAUACCGGAGAAUGUUAUCACGGGAGACACACGGCGGGUGCUAACGUCCGUCGUGAAGAGGGAAACAACCCAGACCGCCAGCUAAGGUCCCAAAGUCAUGGUUAAGUGGGAAACGAUGUGGGAAGGCCCAGACAGCCAGGAUGUUGGCUUAGAAGCAGCCAUCAUUUAAAGAAAGCGUAAUAGCUCACUGGUCGAGUCGGCCUGCGCGGAAGAUGUAACGGGGCUAAACCAUGCACCGAAGCUGCGGCAGCGACGCUUAUGCGUUGUUGGGUAGGGGAGCGUUCUGUAAGCCUGCGAAGGUGUGCUGUGAGGCAUGCUGGAGGUAUCAGAAGUGCGAAUGCUGACAUAAGUAACGAUAAAGCGGGUGAAAAGCCCGCUCGCCGGAAGACCAAGGGUUCCUGUCCAACGUUAAUCGGGGCAGGGUGAGUCGACCCCUAAGGCGAGGCCGAAAGGCGUAGUCGAUGGGAAACAGGUUAAUAUUCCUGUACUUGGUGUUACUGCGAAGGGGGGACGGAGAAGGCUAUGUUGGCCGGGCGACGGUUGUCCCGGUUUAAGCGUGUAGGCUGGUUUUCCAGGCAAAUCCGGAAAAUCAAGGCUGAGGCGUGAUGACGAGGCACUACGGUGCUGAAGCAACAAAUGCCCUGCUUCCAGGAAAAGCCUCUAAGCAUCAGGUAACAUCAAAUCGUACCCCAAACCGACACAGGUGGUCAGGUAGAGAAUACCAAGGCGCUUGAGAGAACUCGGGUGAAGGAACUAGGCAAAAUGGUGCCGUAACUUCGGGAGAAGGCACGCUGAUAUGUAGGUGAAGUCCCUCGCGGAUGGAGCUGAAAUCAGUCGAAGAUACCAGCUGGCUGCAACUGUUUAUUAAAAACACAGCACUGUGCAAACACGAAAGUGGACGUAUACGGUGUGACGCCUGCCCGGUGCCGGAAGGUUAAUUGAUGGGGUUAGCGCAAGCGAAGCUCUUGAUCGAAGCCCCGGUAAACGGCGGCCGUAACUAUAACGGUCCUAAGGUAGCGAAAUUCCUUGUCGGGUAAGUUCCGACCUGCACGAAUGGCGUAAUGAUGGCCAGGCUGUCUCCACCCGAGACUCAGUGAAAUUGAACUCGCUGUGAAGAUGCAGUGUACCCGCGGCAAGACGGAAAGACCCCGUGAACCUUUACUAUAGCUUGACACUGAACAUUGAGCCUUGAUGUGUAGGAUAGGUGGGAGGCUUUGAAGUGUGGACGCCAGUCUGCAUGGAGCCGACCUUGAAAUACCACCCUUUAAUGUUUGAUGUUCUAACGUUGACCCGUAAUCCGGGUUGCGGACAGUGUCUGGUGGGUAGUUUGACUGGGGCGGUCUCCUCCUAAAGAGUAACGGAGGAGCACGAAGGUUGGCUAAUCCUGGUCGGACAUCAGGAGGUUAGUGCAAUGGCAUAAGCCAGCUUGACUGCGAGCGUGACGGCGCGAGCAGGUGCGAAAGCAGGUCAUAGUGAUCCGGUGGUUCUGAAUGGAAGGGCCAUCGCUCAACGGAUAAAAGGUACUCCGGGGAUAACAGGCUGAUACCGCCCAAGAGUUCAUAUCGACGGCGGUGUUUGGCACCUCGAUGUCGGCUCAUCACAUCCUGGGGCUGAAGUAGGUCCCAAGGGUAUGGCUGUUCGCCAUUUAAAGUGGUACGCGAGCUGGGUUUAGAACGUCGUGAGACAGUUCGGUCCCUAUCUGCCGUGGGCGCUGGAGAACUGAGGGGGGCUGCUCCUAGUACGAGAGGACCGGAGUGGACGCAUCACUGGUGUUCGGGUUGUCAUGCCAAUGGCACUGCCCGGUAGCUAAAUGCGGAAGAGAUAAGUGCUGAAAGCAUCUAAGCACGAAACUUGCCCCGAGAUGAGUUCUCCCUGACUCCUUGAGAGUCCUGAAGGAACGUUGAAGACGACGACGUUGAUAGGCCGGAUGUGUAAGCGCAGCGAUGCGUUGAGCUAACCGGUACUAAUGAACCGUGAGGCUUAACCUUACAACGCCGAAGGUGUUU